ensembl:lncRNA
UGCUGAUGGGCAGGGUGGGGGUCGGCACAACUUUUGGGGGUGCUCGUGCUCAUGGGGCUAUGGCCUAAAGAGUGCUGCCUCCCCUACAUACUCAAGUUUCUUCUGAUGCUCCCCAUAGUGAGACAUGCAGCCACAGCAUCCAGUUGAGCACUCGGCCAUGUUGGACUCACCAGUGCUCACUCCUUCCUGCUCCUUUCCCCAGGGAUUUUGGCUCUGGGGAGCACAGGGAGGUGUCCCUGUGGCACUGAGUGCUGAGAGGCUGAAUGCUGUGACAGCCAUUCUCUGUGCAGUGUUCUUCAGAUACGUCUGGUGUUAGCACAGGCUGCUUCCUGCAAAGCCCUUUUUCUCUCAGCACUUUGUUCCCGCAGACAGGCUGAGCACACUGGGUGCUGCACCUAUGGUUCCUCCAGCAUUCCCAGUCACUGCAGGGGCUGGGAGGAGGUGCAGGGGAAUGAUAUCACUAGAAAACAGCCCAAGCAGGACCCACAUUCCCUGCCCACUGCCAGAUCCAUGUGGUACCACUCCUGGCAUCCUCAAGGGCUGCAGCUGCUCCACAUGAGCUCUGGGGCCAUCUGAGCUCUGUCCCUGGAGCACUUGCCAGGGCCAGAACAAGUUGUGGCUGCUACAGAAUUCCCACUUCCACGGGUCCAUGCUGGUCUUACCCCAAGAGCGUAUUUCAGCACAUGCUGUAUUCAAGGCAAACUAUUCCUGCUGGGAUCUGGGGAUCCUUUAUCUCUGUUCCCAGUGCUGGGAGGAACAUGAGGAGUCCUGUUGUUUGGAAAAAACCCCAAAGCCCAUAGAGGAUUGAUUGAGCUAAAUGGAGGUGCUUUGGCACAGCCUUUGGGACACACUGCAGGUAUCUCAAGUCACGGAGGGCACUUUGCAGCAGCUUCUCAAGGCCCAUGUGUAGUGCAGCAGCUCUUCCACCACUCUUCUUCCCCUGCCCCUCGUUCCAGCCUGGGGCUGGAAGCACAUCUGCCCAGAGGUGAGAGCAGAGCUGCUCGGCUGCCAAAGUAGAACACAGCUCAGAAGUUCAUUCUGGGAUUGCCAUGCAGUGUGAAGAGGUACCCAUUGGCCAGAUGGGGCCUUUGCUUCAAAAGCGGUGGAAAGCUCAACGUCAGCGUGCAGCCCUGUGCCCUCCGGUGCUGGAAGGGGCUGCUCACCCUCAGCCAUACAGUUCUCCAUUUCUAUGGGCUGAAAGAUUUCAGAGCCUUGCUCUGGGAGCUGCCCAAGGUGUUGCUGAUGGCAUCUAAGAGAAAAGCAUGGAGCAGCGUUGCUGCGCACUGCUUAUGUGUAGCUAUGGUUACAGGAGUCUGUGUCAGAGUAUGUACGAUGUUACCAGGGAAAUCAGACGUGGUGGUGUCAACAGAUACUGCAGGAGCUCAUCCUCCAUCAGAGCAGAGCUCAGAAGCUCAGUGCAGACCCACACAGCAACCGGCAGCGAUAAGAAUAAAUGCCAUUUGGAGAAGAAAACCAUCCUACCCACGCGGAGGGAGGGGGGCCUGGCAGGGACAUGCAGGUACCACCCACUGCUGCAAGCACUUGGCACGUGUUCCCAGAGACAUUCAAACAUGUACCAAAGAGCUUCUCCUGUCUGAGCAGUCAGUGCAUCCUUACA